ACAAGAUCGACAGAUCCCAUUUUGAUGCACACUCUAUUCCUACGAUGGACAUACUAUAACCAACAUACACCGUAAGAUUCCGAAUGGCUAUGUAACCAAGUAAUUGUACAGUCAAACUACAGUAACCCCAUUGUGAAUAAUCGAGGCACUGUAGAUCAAAGAAUUAUCUACACUACUCUAACUUUGAGCAAAUCACCAACGAAUAAGUAGCCAUCCUAGU
rnacentral:lncRNA from 1 species